rnacentral:tRNA from 2 species
GGGCGAUUAGCUCAGUUGGUAGAGCGUCGCCCUUACAAGGCGAAUGUCACAAGUUCAAGUCUUGUAUCGCCCA